rnacentral:tRNA from 1 species
UUAAUUGAAGCCAAAUAGAGGCAUAUCACUGUUAAUGAUAAAAAUGAGAUCUUUCUCCAAUUAAG